UAGACUGGAGGAAUUGAGUGCUUCCAUUAGAUUUUGCAGUAUUUUCCCGAAACACGGAAAGGACCAAAUGGAUUAGUUGAAAAUGCAUAAAAAUAUAAACAAUAGAGUGAAUUGGGAGUCUCAACGACGGACAUCUCAAGAAAAGCUAAAUAUUGCAUGUCACUGUGAUGUGUUCGUCCAAAUUCCCGGGGAUUAUGCAAAAACAGGAGGAGAGAGCUGGGAAAUGAUGCACACUUCGGAUCAGUGGCUAUUGGGUAGGGACAGGCCUGAGAUCAGUGAACAGUGGCUGUAUGGGCUGUACGUUUUGUCCUUUGCGGGUCUUUUUGCGGUCUGGGCUUGCUGUUCAUAAGGCAGUAGCCAGGAAGCCCUUACCCCAAAAAGUAUCUGCAGAGGACCCCCGCAUCUCAUCAAGAUACUACUACCUGCCCCAUCAUUGGACAGUGAGUAACUUCCUCUUGCCCCCUCAUUGGACAAUGAGUCACUUCCUCUUGUUCCCUGAUUGGUCAGCAAAACAUCUAGAAAUCAGUCAUCACUCAUAACGCUUCAAAAAGUAAUCUACUGUGGUUGAGGAUAACGUUAUGUCAACGUUUAAUAAUACAUAUCUAAUGGAAGGGGGUGGUAUUGUGUUAACGUUUAAUAAUACAUAUCUAAUGGAAGGGUGUGGUAUUGUGUUAAUGUUUAAUAAUACAUAUCUAAUGGAAGGUGUGGUAUUGUGUUAACGUUUAAUCAUACAUAUCUAAUGGAAGGGUGUGGUAUUGUGUUAACGUUUAAUAAUACAUAUCUAAUGGAAGGGGGUGGUAUUGUGUUAAUGUUUAAUAAUACAUAUCUAAUGGAAGGGUGUGGUAUUGUGUUAACGUUUAAUAAUACAUAUCUAAUGGAAGGGUGUGGUAUUGUGUUAAUGUUUAAUAAUACAUAUCUAAUGGAAGGGUGUGGUAUUGUGUUAACGUUUAAUAAUACAUAUCUAAUGGACGGGUGUGGUAUUGUGUUAAUGUUUAAUAAUACAUAUCUAAUGGAAGGGUGUGGUAUUGUGUUAAUGUUUAAUAAUACAUAUCUAAUGGAAGGGUGUGGUAUUGUGUUAACGUUUAAUAAUACAUAUAUAAUGGAAGGGUGUGGUAUUGUUUUAAUGUUUAAUAAUACAUAUAUAAUGGAAGGGUGUGGUAUUGUGUUAAUGUUUAAUCAUACAUAUCUAAUGGAAGGGUGUGGUAUUGUAUUAACGUUUAAUAAUACAUAUCUAAUGGAAGGGUGUGGUAUUGUGUUAAUGUUUAAUCAUACAUAUCUAAUGGAAGGGUGUGGUAUUGUAUUAACGUUUAAUAAUACAUAUCUAAUGGAAGGGUGUGGUAUUGUGUUAACGUUUAAUAAUACAUAUCUAAUGGAAGGGUGUGGUAUUGUCUCAACGUAUAUGUAACGUCCUGACCAGAGUUGUUAUGUGUUUUGCUUGUUUAGUGUUGGUCAGGACGUGACCUGGGUGGGAAUUCUAUGUUGUGUGUCUAGUUCGUCUGUUUCUAUGUUCAGCCUGAUAUGGUUCUCAAUCAGAGACAGCUGUCAAUUGUUGUCCCUGAUUGAGAAUCAUAUAUAGGUGGCUUGUUUUGUGUUGGGGAUUGUGGGUGGUUGUUUCCUGUCUCUGUGUUUGUGUUCUGCACCAGCUAGGACUGUGACGGUAUGUUCUUUUGUUAUUUUGUAUAGUGUUUUUGUUUUGUCUAUUAAAUUCAUUAUGUCAAAUUA